UGACCCUACGGGGCGCAGCAGUGGGGAACAUUGCACAAUGGGGGAAACCCUGAUGCAGCGACGCCGCGUGAGUGAAGAAGUAUUUCGGUAUGUAAAGCUCUAUCAGCAGGGAAGAAAAAAGACGGUACCUGACUAAGAAGCCCCGGCUAACUACGUGCCAGCAGCCGCGGUAAUACGUAGGGGGCAAGCGUUAUCCGGAUUUACUGGGCGUAAAGGGAGCGUAGACGGCGCGGCAAGUCUGAAGUGAAAGUCAGGGGCUUAACCCCGGAACUGCUUUGGAAA
rnacentral:rRNA from 1 species